rnacentral:rRNA from 1 species
UACGUAGGUGGCGAGCGUUAUCCGGAAUUACUGGGUGUAAAGGGCGUGUAGGCGGGAAUGUAAGUCAGAUGUGAAAUUCCACGGCUUAACUGUGGGACUGCAACUGAAACUACAUUUCUUGAGUGCUGGAGAGGAAAGCGGAAUUCCUAGUGUAGCGGUGAAAUGCGUAGAUAUUAGGAGGAACACCAGUGGCGAAGGCGGCUUUCUGGACAGUAACUGACGCUGAGGCGCGAAAGCGUGGGGAGCAAACAGG